GCCUUCAUGAAGCCGGAAUUGCUAGUAAUGGCAGGUCAGCAUACUGCCGUGAAUACGUUCCCGGGCCUUGUACACACCGCCCGUCACACCAUGAGAGUUGGGAAUACCCGAAGCCUGUGAGCUAACUUAUAGAGGCAGCAGUCGAAGGUAGAAUCAAUGAUUGGGGUGAAGUCGUAACAAGGUAAC
rnacentral:rRNA from 1 species